GUCGAGGGCGGUGGGUGGCCCGCGCCGCAGGCCGCGUUCCUCCCCUGGGCGUCCGACGGAACCGAAGCGGUUCGCGGGCGGCUCCCCAGUCUCUGCGCUUCACCUUCCCGUACGGUCCCAGUUUCCCGGGACUGGGCGGGCGCGCACCCCCGCUGCCAGCAGUCCCCCCGCUCUCGGGACGCUGCCAGCCCCCCCGGAGGGGCGGCUCUUAAUUCUUCCGCGUGACACCGGGGUCGCCUCAGUCCCUGGGGACCGCGGAAAUUUCAGCCUUUUCCUGACCUCAAGGAGCGUCCACAAGAAGAAGCUGGAAGACCGGCAGUUAGCACAGCUGGGCUCCCAGAACACAAGGAAACUGCACCUUAUGGCCAGACCUCAAUAAAUUAGAUGCCUAGAGCUGCGGAGAAAGAAAAUAGCAUGCUGAUUUAUUUCCUGCUUUUUCGCAACGUGCCUACGUACAGUCACGAGAAUGGUCGAAUUCGUAGGUUUUCAGGAUGAUUUGAAAGUUAUCCAGAUACCCUUACAUAUACUCAGACGAUCUCAGAAAAACAAAACAAAACAAAACACGGAAGAAUUGAUGACAAUGUUUCCUCUGGGGAGAACUGGGCACGAGUAUGUAAAACAAAGAAAAUGAAGCUGUUCCAGUUGCAGAUAGAUGAAGACCUGCUCAGCUUCAUACAAUGUUACCUAGAGUUAGUGGCUGAUAUGAAGGAAAGAAAGUCUAAAAUAACUGCCUACUCCAAAAUAUCUCCAAUUGCAGCUGAAGCUGACAAGUGGAUGAGGAUCCUAUGAAGACACACCAGCCCAGUACAGAGCCCUCUCCCCCAGGAAUCAGCAGUAAUUGUGAAUGUUAGUCAACAGAUUACUAGGAGGCUGCCAGCAUGUCAUGUAAUCAGGCACUGAAACUGCUGAGCACUACUUUUCUAAGAAGAUGCCUCAUUGGAAUGUACUGGAUCUUUUACCUCUGGAGAAUCCCAAGUGGUUCCAAAAGCAUGCACGAUAAAUGGAUAAAACUGGUGUUAGUCUUCAGAGACCUUCAAAGGCCAUUGAGAAGAAUGUCAAGCUAGACAAAAUUCUUCUAGACUCCAGAAAGUUAAAAAAGGUCUAUCUGAGGCUCGGAGGGCACUGGUCUCAGAAUCUAGGUGAAGAAGCUCGCUGGGGCAUUUGAUUUAUAGUGAUACCCAAACUCUGAGGUCCUUCUUAGUGAAUUGGAAUCACAGCAAUGGACUCCUUUCAUAGGGGAUCUGUGUUCUGCUGUACAUAACAAAAAUCCUGACUCAAGCUGACUUAAACAAUAAAGAAAUUCUUUAUUUCACUAAACCAAACUCCAAAACGCACAGCAGCCUUAAGAGCCAGUGGAUUCCUGUCAUCGGCAAUCCAAGAAUAUUUUCAUCACUCCAUUUUGGAAGAGAAAUAGAAUUACUAUGAUUGACUAGACUAUUGCUUAUCUGAAGUUAAAUGUAUGUGGGUGAAUCAGCCAGUG